rnacentral:rRNA from 1 species
GAUGAACGCUGGCGGCGUGCCUAAUACAUGCAAGUCGAGCGAAUGGAUUAAGAGCUUGCUCUCAUGAAGUUAGCGGCGGACGGGUGAGUAACACGUGGGUAACCUGCCCAUAAGACUGGGAUAACUCCGGGAAACCGGGGCUAAUACCGGAUAACAUUUUGAACCGCAUGGUUCGAAAUUGAAAGGCGGCUUCGACUGUCACUUAUGGAUGGACCCGCGUCGCAUUAGCUAGUUGGUGAGGUAACGGCUCACCAAGGCAACGAGGCGUAGCCGACCUGAGAGGGUGAUCGGCCACACUGGGACUGAGACACGGCCCAGACUCCUACGGGAGGCAGCGGUAGGGAAUCUUCCGCAAUGGACGAAAGUCUGACGGAGCAACGCCGCGUGAGUGAUGAAGGCUUUCGGGUCGUAAAACUCUGUUGUUAGGGAAGAACAAGUGCUAGUUGAAUAAGCUGGCACCUUGACGGUACCUAACCAGAAAGCCACGGCUAACUACGUGCCAGCCGCCGCAGUAA